AGGCAGGCCGGCGGGAGGAGGGAGUCCUGCGGGGGCGGGCUGAAGGAGAAGGCUCGGAAAUGGUAAGGAGUGACCGCCCUCUGCCGUGACCAUCUUUGAAAAUCUUGAUAAUGGUUCCUCGAGUGUGAGCGCCCCGCGUCUCCGUCAUGUGCCUUGGCCUGGCGCGGCCGCGCAGUGCUCGUUGAUAAGGAAGUGUUGCGCCCGUGCUUCCCAGCCUGAAAGAAGUGAGUGAACGAAGGUGAGGUGGCGGCGGAGGCACAGACCUCCCUCCUCGGCAGGGCCCUCGCCUUCCUCUCCCAAGACCCCACGUGGGCCCGCUUGCUGGAGGUGGUGGGGCGGGCCAGGGAGGUCGCGUGGGGCAGCCUCAUCUACCAGCUCCUGUCCGUCAUCUUCAUCACCUUCUUCGCCCCCGCCCUCAAGAUGGUCCUCCUCACCCUCAUCGCGGCCACGCUCAGGGUCAUCUCCGUCUACUUCUUCGGCGAGGAGGACAUGGCACUAGUGGUGGGCAACGAGGGUUACGUGUACUACGCCUACGUCCUGCUCGGCAACUACAUCGGAUUCGGCCCCAUCCUGCACCUCUUCAACAGGCCCGUGCCGGAAUGGGCCUACUAGUGCCACAGAAUUCUCUCUCUCUCUCUCUCUCUCUCUCUCUCUCUCUCUCUCUCUCUCUCUCUCUCUCUCUCUCUCUCUCUCUCUGACUUUAGUUAACUUACGCUCUAAGUAUAAUUAACUGUGAAUACAAAUAACUGUGCAUAUGGAACUCACUAUCCAGUUCACUGACACAUCUAAUAACUUGAUAAAUAAAAUGUUUGACUUCGAAAAGAGUAA